GGCGGCAGGCCUAACACAUGCAAGUCGAACGGAACCUUCGGGUUCAGUGGCGGACGGGUGAGUAACACGUGGGAACGUGCCCUAUGGUUCGGAAUAACUCAGGGAAACUUGAGCUAAUACCGGAUGAGCCCUACGGGGGAAAGAUUUAUCGCCAUAGGAGCGGCCCGCGUCUGAUUAGCUAGUUGGUGAGGUAAAGGCCUACCAAGGCGACGAUCUGUAGCUGGUCUGAGAGGACGACCAGCCACACUGGGACUGAGACACGGCCCAGACUCCUACGGGAGGCAGCAGUGGGGAAUUUUGGACAAUGGGGGAAACCCUGAUCCAGCAAUGCCGCGUGUGUGAAGAAGGCCUUCGGGUUGUAAAGCACUUUUGUCCGGAAAGAAAACUUCCGCCCUAAUACGGUGGGAGGCUGACGGUACCGGAAGAAUAAGCACCGGCUAACUACGUGCCAGCAGCCGCGGUAAUACGUAGGGUGCGAGCGUUAAUCGGAAUUACUGGGCGUAAAGCGUGCGCAGGCGGUUUGUUAA
rnacentral:rRNA from 1 species